GGGGAUCCUGCUGAUGAGGUUUGUGUCCAAAUCCUGGAUUUGACACUGGUAAUCGUUUACGACCACUUGUAAACGAUUACAAGUGGUUUCUCUGCAGCACAACUAUAUGGAAUUCAACCACUCCCAUGGACUCACACAUGGUCAAUUUNAUGACCUCUUGGGGUGUCCAAACAACAGCUCCCACACUGUACACACAAUUAGAAGCUCAUAACCCUUUCUAAACUUGAAGAAAACCAAAAUGAGUGACCCUGGUCCUCUGGGUGUCAUGCAGGGGAUCCUGCUGGUGAGGUUUGUGUCCAAAUCCUGGAUUUGUUACUGGUAAUCGUUUACGACCACUUGUAAACGAUUACAAGUGGUUCUUCUGCAGCACAACAUUCUGGAAUUCACCCAGCCC
rnacentral:lncRNA from 1 species